GGUCAGGACGAACGCUGGCGGCGUGCCUAACACAUGCAAGUCGAACGGAGCUGAAGAGCUUGCCUUCAGCUUAGUGGCGGACGGGUGAGUAACGCGUGAGUAACCUGCCUCCGAGAGUGGAAUAACGUUUUGAAAAGAACGCUAAUACCGCAUAAAGCACAAGAGUCGCAUGGCUAAAGUGCCAAAGAUUUCAUCGCUCGGAGAUGGACUCGCGUCCGAUUAGUUAGUUGGUGAGGUAACGGCUCACCAAGACCGCGAUCGGUAGCCGGACUGAGAGGUUGAACGGCCACAUUGGGACUGAGACACGGCCCAGACUCCUACGGGAGGCAGCAGUGGGGGAUAUUGCGCAAUGGGGGGAAAAACCCCUGACGCAGCAACGCCGCGUGAAGGAUGAAGGUUUUCGGAUUGUAAACUUCUUUUAUCAGGGACGAAAUUUGACGGUACCUGAAGAAUAAGCUCCGGCUAACUACGUGCCAGCCGCAGC
rnacentral:rRNA from 1 species